AUGUACCACGCGUACAUUCCGGUGGUGAGCGCGCCGUCCAUGGCCAUCUGCCCGCUGCUCGCGACGUUGCUCGGCC
rnacentral:sRNA from 1 species